GCCCGGGUGGCGGAACGGUAGACGCUGCGGACUUAAAAUCCGCUGGCCGCAAGGUCGUGUGGGUUCGAAUCCCACCCCGGGCA
rnacentral:tRNA from 1 species